rnacentral:rRNA from 1 species
UGGGGAAUUUUGGACAAUGGGCGAAAGCCUGAUCCAGCCAUGCCGCGUGCGGGAAGAAGGCCUUCGGGUUGUAAACCGCUUUUGUCAGGGAAGAGACGAGUUUCUCUAAUACAGAGACUUAAUGACGGUACCUGAGGAAUAAGCACCGGCUAACUACGUGCCAGCAGCCGCGGUAAUACGUAGGGUGCGAGCGUUAAUCGGAAUUACUGGGCGUAAAGCGUGCGCAGGCGGUUGUGUAAGACAGGUGUGAAAUCCCCGGGCUUAACCUGGGAACUGCGCUUGUGACUGCACGGCUAGAGUAUGGCAGAGGGGGGUGGAAUUCCACGUGUAGCAGUGAAAUGCGUAGAGAUGUGGAGGAACACCGAUGGCGAAGGCAAUCCCCUGGACCUGUACUGACGCUCAUGCACGAAAGCGUGGGGAGCAAACA